GUUUUCAGAUGGCGCCAGAGGCAUUUCUCCUAUUUCAAAAGCCUGGGAAUCCCCGGUCCCGAACCCAAUCUGCUGUGGGGAAACAUACGCGAGUAUCACUCAACGCAUCAUCACAAAGUCAUUGAAAAAUGGCUUGAAAAGUACGGCGACACAUUCGGAUUUUAUGACGGAGAUGUACCUUUUGUUGUAACAUUGGAUUUGGACUUCUUGGAAUAUGUUCUAGUUCGCAACUUUCAAAACUUCACGGAUCGCGGGGAUGAGUUGCUGACGGAGCAGAAACACCCGCUAUUGCGCAACUCUAUAGUCUACGCUGCAGGUACCCAGUGGAGAAACAUACGGCGAUGUGUAGCCUCCGGCUUUACACCAGCGAAGCUGAAACAGAUGCUGACAGAUAUGAAUAGAGGCGCGGAUAUUUACCUGGACAUUGCCGGAGAGCAUGCCGACUCCGGCCGUGAAGCGAACGUUUACGAGCUUUACCGGAAGCUAAGCAUGGACUACGUGGGCCGCGCAGCAUUCGGCGUCGACUGCAGCUUCCAGAGAGGACCCGACAACGUCCUCG